rnacentral:snRNA from 1 species
AUGCUUGGUGGCACAUACACUAAAAUUGGAACUAUAAAGAGAAGAUUAGUUACUGGCCCCUGCAUGAGGACAAGACAAAUUUGUGAAGCAGUUCAUAUUUUU